rnacentral:rRNA from 1 species
ACUGCCAGACUUGGAACCGGGAGAGGUAAGAGGUACUACAGGGUAGGAGUGAAAUCUUGUAAUCCCUGUGGGACCACCUGUGGCGAAGGCGUCUUACCGGAACGGGUUCGACGGUGAGGGACGAAAGCUGGGGGCACGAACCGGAUUAGAUACCCGGGUAGUCCCAGCCGUAAACGAUGCUCGCUAGGUGUCAGGCAUGGCGCGACCGUGUCUGGUGCCGCAGGGAAGCCGUGAAGCGAGCCACCUGGGAAGUACGGCCGCAAGGCUGAAACUUAAAGGAAUUGGCGGGGGAGCACAACAACGGGUGGAGCCCUGCGGUUUAAUUGGACUCAACGCCGGACAACUCACCGGGGGCGACAGCAAUAUGUAGGCCAAGCUGAAGACUUUGCCUGAAUCGCUGAGGAGUGGUGCAUGG